UGCAGUCGAGCGGUAACAGGGGAAGCUUGCUUCCCGCUGACGAGCGGCGGACGGGUGAGUAAUGCUUAGGAAUCUGCCCAGUAGUGGGGGAUAGCCCGGGGAAACCCGGAUUAAUACCGCAACGUCCUACGGGAGAAAGCAGGGGAUCUUCGGACCUUGCGCUAUUGGAUGAGCCUAAGUCGGAUUAGCUAGUUGGUGGGGUAAAGGCCUACCAAGGCGACGAUCCGUAGCUGGUCUGAGAGGAUGAUCAGCCACAUCGGGACUGAGACACGGCCCGAACUCCUACGGGAGGCAGCAGUGGGGAAUAUUGGACAAUGGGGGCAACCCUGAUCCAGCCUGCCGCGUGUGUGAAAAGCUUUCGGUUGUAAGCACUUUCAUAGGGGGAAACUUAUGGCUAUACCCUGAGGUUG
rnacentral:rRNA from 1 species